UCCACGUCACAUAUCAUAGUUCAUAUGUCAUUGUUUUUCAAUGUCGAGUUCCCUAAUUCACCUAGAGUUUAUCGACCCAAGUUCAACAUGCAUGUGUCAUUUAACAUAAUCCACAAUAUGUCAAUAUACAUUCAUCUAGUAUAUUCUAUAAUAAAUCAACAUGCACUCAUUCAUCAUAUUCCACAAUAUGUCUACAUAUAUAUGCCAACCAUUCAUAUGCCAUCCAACAUGUUCCAUAAUUUAUCAACAUGCAUAUUACCUCUAACAUAUUACUAUAACAUUAUUUUCAUGCAUUCAUGUAACAAUUAACUCAUGCAUUCAUCUAGCAUUUAACACAUUAUAUGUCAUUAUGCAUGUUAUCUCAACAGUAAGUAACAUCGACUAUAUGCAUCAAUUAGAAAACCAUUACUCUUAGACAUAUAGGCGACCUAGUCGCUUUGGUGAGUACAACCCACCUCAUUUCGCAUUCCGAUUGCUUGUCGACACUUGCAAUCGGCCUCCCGCGGCACCCGGCACCCGGUUUGGCCCGAUCUCUUGCGCGACCACCCGAACGGCCUCCAAUUCACAAUCCGAAAAUUAAAGGUCUUCGGUUAUGUGCCACGAUGCUUCAAAUCCGUUUUCAUGAGUAUACGAUGUCGUCUCGGCCCUCCAGGCGGAAACGAAGCCUAAACGUCUGUUUCUUUAAUAACUUCGCAACGGCUCAACGAAUCGCCGAACCGACUUCGCCAACGCGUUCGUUUACCUAGCAAUUAGGUUUACGGAGGGUCAAAUUAGAUCAAACCCUUAUAUUUUAAAAAACCCAUUCGGAGCCCUAAUAUGCAAUUAACUUCCAAUUAAUCCAAAUUAAAUGGAGAUAACAUGUUUAGAACACUCUAGAUACUACUAGAACAUCAUUCAUGAAGGAUUUAAACAAAAUCCCAAACUCUUACCAAAACGUGAACGCCGCGACGAAAACACGCCGCUCCAACGGGCGCACGAAAGCUCGAUCCGUCGCUCCCAACGCGUUCGCAAGCAUCUUCUCCGCCAACACCGCGAAUUUGAGCGAGAGAUAUAGAGAGAUGAGAGAGAAAUCUAGAGAGAGAAAGAAAGCUUUCUCUCUUCCCACCAUGUAUGCGGG
rnacentral:lncRNA from 1 species